UACGAAGGGGGCUAGCGUUGCUCGGAAUUACUGGGCGUAAAGGGCGCGUAGGCGGCCAGAUUAGUCAGGCGUGAAAGCCCUGGGCUCAACCUGGGGACUGCGCUUGAUACGGUUUGGCUUGAGGACGGAAGAGGCUCGCGGAAUUCCCAGUGUAGAGGUGAAAUUCGUAGAUAUUGGGAAGAACACCGGUGGCGAAGGCGGCAAGCUGGUCCGUACCUGACGCUGAGGUGCGAAAGCGUGGGGAGCAAACAGG
rnacentral:rRNA from 1 species